rnacentral:rRNA from 1 species
CGGGGACCAUCCCGUAAGGCUAAAUACUCUCUAGUGACCGAUAGUGAACAAGUACCGUGAGGGAAAGUUGAAAAGAACCCCGGGAGGGGAGUGAAAUAGACAGUGAAACCGUAUGCUUACAAAAAGUUAGAGCCCGUUAAUGGGUGAUAGCGUGCCUUUUGCAGAAUGAACCGGCGAGUUAUUGUAUUAUGCAAGGUUAAGUUGAAUAGACGGAGCCGAAGCGAAAGCGAGUCUUAAUAGGGCGAUGAGUAUGAUGUAAUAGACCCGAAACCGAGUGAUCUAGCCAUGAGCAGGUUGAAGGUAAGGUAACACUUACUGGAGGACCGAACCGACGUACCCGGAAACGUGCGCGGAUGACUUGUGGCUAGCGGAGAAAUUCCAAUCGAACUCGGAUAUAGCUGGUUCUCCCCGAAAUAGGUUUACGCCUAGCCUCGUGGUAAAGCUUCCUGGAGGUAGAGCACUGAAUAGACGAUGGCGUCGUAUAGAUGUACUGAAUUUAAUCAAACUCCGAAUGCCAGGAAAGUAUACACGGGAGUCAGUGUAUGGGUGAUAACGUCCAUACGCGAGAGGAAAACAAUCCAGACCACCAGCUAAGGUCCCAAAUUUCAUGUUAAGUGGGAAAGGAUGUGGAGUUGUCUAAACAGCUAGGAGGUUGGCUUAGAAGCAGCCACCCUUUAAAGAGUGCGUAAUAGCUCACUAGUCGAAUGACACUGCGCCGAAAAUGUACCGGGGCUAAACAUGAAACCGAAGCUGUGGAUUUUAUAGAUAAUAUAAAAUGGUAGGGGAGCGUUCUAAUUGCGACGAAGAUGGAUCGUGAGGACUGUUGGAGCGAUUAGAAGUGAGAAUGCCGGUGUGAGUAGCGCAAGAAGGGUGAGAAUCCCUUCCACCGUUUGCCUAAGGGUUCCUGGGGAAGGUUCGUCCUCCCAGGGUAAGUCGGGUCCUAAGACGAGGCCGAAAGGCGUAGCCGAUGGACAACAGGUUGAUAUUCCUGUACCACCUAUAUAACUGAUGGAGUGACGAAGGAGGCUAUAGAAAGCCAGUUAAUGGAUUCUGGUCUAAGCACAAAGGCGUACAUAUAGGCAAAUCCGUAUGUAAUGUAGCUGAAGUGUUAUGGUGAAGGUAAUAGCGAUAUUACUGAAAUUUCUAGACGCCAAACUUCCAAGAAAAGCUUCUAGGGUUAAUUAUAUAGGUGCCCGUACCCAGAACCGACACAGGUAGGCAAGGAGAGUAUCCUAAGGUGAGCGAGAGAACUAUGGUUAAGGAACUCGGCAAAAUGACCCCGUAACUUCGGGAGAAGGGGUGGUCUAGCGAUAGACCCGCAGUAAAGAGUCCCAGGCAACUGUUUACCAAAAACACAGCUCUCUGCUAAAUCGAAAGAUGAUGUAUAGGGGGUGACACUUGCCCAGUGCUGGAAGGUUAAGAGGAGAGGUUAGUAAUGACUUCGGUUAUAUUUACGAAGCUUCGAAUUGAAGCCCCAGUGAACGGCGGCCGUAACUAUAACGGUCCUAAGGUAGCGAAAUUCCUUGUCAGGUAAGUUCUGACCCGCACGAAAAGUGUAAUGAUCUGGGAACUGUCUCAACCAUAGACUCGGUGAAAUCUUAAUACCUGUGAAAAUGCAGGUUACCCGCGACAGGACGGAAAGACCCCAUGGAGCUUUACUGUAGCUUGAUAUUGGAUCUCGAUGUGUUAUGUAGAGGAUAGGUGGGAGACUAUGAUGUUAGGACGCUAGUUCUAACGGAGUCAACCUUGGAAUACCACCCUUAGCAUGUUGAGAUUCUAACCUCGACCCAUUAUCUGGGUCAGGGACAGUGUCUGGUGGGCAGUUUGACUGGGGCGGUCGCCUCCCAAAAAGUAACGGAGGCGCUCAAAGGUUCCCUCAGAAUGGUUGGAAAUCAUUCGAAGAGCGUAAUGGUAUAAGGGAGCUUUACUGCGAGACCUACAAGUCAAGCAGUUACGAAAGUAGGACAUAGUGGGCCGGCGAUUCAGAAUGGAAUGGUCGUCGCUUAACGGAUAAAAGUUACCCUGGGGAUAACAGGCUGAUACCACCCAAUAGUUCACAUAGACGGUGGUGAUUGGCACCUCGAUGUCGGCUCGUCACAUCCUGGAGCUGGAUUCGGUUCCAAGGGUUGGGCUGUUCGCCCAUUAAAGUGGCACGCGAGCUGGGUUCAGAACGUCGUGAGACAGUUCGGUCCCUAUCCG